rnacentral:rRNA from 1 species
UACGUAGGGGGCAAGCGUUAUCCGGAAUCACUGGGCGUAAAGGGUGCGUAGGCGGUCUUGCAAGCCAGAGGUGAAAGGCUAUGGCUCAACCAUAGUGAGCCUUUGGAACUGCCGGACUUGAGUACAGGAGAGGAAAGUGGAAUUCCUAGUGUAGCGGUGAAAUGCGUAGAUAUUAGGAGGAACACCAGUGGCGAAGGCGACUUUCUGGACUGUUACUGACGCUGAGGCACGAAAGCGUGGGGAGCGAACAGG